AUACGUAGGGGGCGAGCGUUGUCCGGAAUGAUUGGGCGUAAAGGGCGCGUAGGCGGCCCGGUAAGUCUGGAGUGAAAGUCCUGUUUUUAAGAUGGGAAUUGCUUUGGAUACUGUCGGGCUUGAGUGCAGGAGAGGUAAGUGGAAUUCCCAGUGUAGCGGUGAAAUGCGUAGAGAUUGGGAGGAACACCAGUGGCGAAGGCGACUUACUGGACUGUAACUGACGCUGAGGCGCGAAAGUGUGGGGAGCAAACAGGAUUAGAUACCCUGGUAGUCCACACUGUAAACGAUGAAUGCUAGGUGUAGGGGGUAUCGACCCCUUCUGUGCCGCAGUCAACACAAUAAGCAUUCCGCCUGGGGAGUACGGCCGCAAGGUUGAAACUCAAAUGAAUGGGCGGGG
rnacentral:rRNA from 1 species